CAACCUGCCUAUAAGACUGGGAUAACUUCGGGAAACCGGAGCUAAUACCGGAUACGUUCUUUUCUCGCAUGAGAGAAGAUGGAAAGACGGUUCAUGCUGUCACUUAUAGAUGGGCCCGCGGCGCAUUAGCUAGUUGGUGAGGUAAUGGCUCACCAAGGCGACGAUGCGUAGCCGACCUGAGAGGGUGAUCGGCCACACUGGGACUGAGACACGGCCCAGACUCCUACGGGAGGCAGCAGUAGGGAAUCUUCCGCAAUGGACGAAAGUCUGACGGAGCAACGCCGCGUGAACGAAGAAGGCCUUCGGGUCGUAAAGUUCUGUUGUUAGGGAAGAACAAGUACCAGAGUAACUGCUGGUACCUUGACGGUACCUAACCAGAAAGCCACGGCUAACUACGUGCCAGCAGCCGCGGUAAUACGUAGGUGGCAAGCGUUGUCCGGAAUUAUUGGGCGUAAAGCGCGCGCAGGUGGUUCCUUAAGUCUGAUGUGAAAGCCCACGGCUCCACCGUGGAGGGUCAUUGGAAACUGGGGAACUUGAGUGCAGAAGAGGAAAGUGGAA
rnacentral:rRNA from 2 species